rnacentral:rRNA from 1 species
AGAGUUUGAUCCUGGCUCAGGAUGAACGCUAGCGGCAGGCUUAAUACAUGCAAGUCGUGGGGCAGCAGGAGUGUAGCAAUACACUUGCUGGCGACCGGCAAACGGGUGCGGAACACGUACGCAACCUACCCAUAACUGGAGAAUAGCCCAGGGAAACUUGGAUUAAUACUCCGUAACAUAUUGGAAAGGCAUCUUUUUAAUAUUAAAGCUACGGCGGUUAUGGAUGGGCGUGCGCCUGAUUAGGUAGUUGGCGGGGUAACGGCCCACCAAGCCUGCGAUCAGUAACUGGUGUGAGAGCACGACCAGUCACACGGGCACUGAGACACGGGCCCGACUCCUACGGGAGGCAGCAGUAAGGAAUAUUGGGCAAUGGACGCAAGUCUGACCCAGCCAUGCCGCGUGGAGGAUGAAGGUCCUCUGGAUUGUAAACUUCUUUUAUCUGGGAUGAAAUGCAUUUUUUCUAAGAUGCUUGACGGUACCAGAUGAAUAAGCACCGGCUAACUCCGUGCCAGCAGCCGCGGUAAUACGGAGGGUGCAAGCGUUAUCCGGAUUUACUGGGUUUAAAGGGUGCGUAGGCGGGCAGAUAAGUCAGUGGUGAAAUCCCCGGGCUCAACCUGGGAACUGCCGUUGAUACUAUUUGUCUUGAAUACCGUGGAGGUGAGCGGAAUAUGUCAUGUAGCGGUGAAAUGCUUAGAUAUGACAUAGAACACCGAUUGCGAAAGGCAGCUCACUACGCGGUCAUUGACGCUGAGGCACGAAAGCGUGGGGAUCAAACAGGAUUAGAUACCCUGGUAGUCCAC